rnacentral:rRNA from 1 species
CAGCAGCCGCGGGAAUACGGAGGAUCCAAGCGUUAUCCGGAAUCAUUGGGUUUAAAGGGUCCGUAGGCGGUCUUGUAAGUCAGUGGUGAAAGCCCAUCGCUCAACGGUGGAACGGCCAUUGAUACUGCAGGACUUGAAUUAUUGGGAAGUAACUAGAAUAUGUAGUGUAGCGGUGAAAUGCUUAGAGAUUACAUGGAAUACCAAUUGCGAAGGCAGGUUACUACCAAUUGAUUGACGCUGAUGGACGAAAGCGUGGGUAGCGAACAGGAUUAGAUACCCCCGUAGUCCCUGUCUCUUAUAC